GAUCCUGGCUCAGGAUGAACGCUGGCGGCGUGCCUAACACAUGCAAGUCGAACGGAGUUUAUGAGGAAGAAGCUUCGGCGGAAUUCUUAUAAACUUAGUGGCGGACGGGUGAGUAACACGUGGAGAACCUGCCUCUUACCGGGGGACAGCAGUUGGAAACGACUGAUAAUACCGCAUAAGCGCACGAGACCGCAUGGUCCUGUGUGAAAAGAUUUAUCGGUAAGAGAUGGCUCCGCGU
rnacentral:rRNA from 1 species